GAUGAACGCUGGCGGCGUGCUUAACACAUGCAAGUCGAACGGGAAUGCCACGCUGAUGCGAUUUCGGUCAAAUCAUGUGGCAUUCGAGUGGCGGACGGGUGAGUAACGCGUGGGUAACCUGCCUUACACAGGGGGAUAACACCUGGAAACAGGUGCUAAUACCGCAUAAGCGCACAGGGCCGCAUGGCCCGGUGUGAAAAACUCCGGUGGUGUAAGAUGGACCCGCGUCUGAUUAGCUUGUUGGCGGGGUAGGGGCCCACCAAGGCGACGAUCAGUAGCCGGCCUGAGAGGGUGGACGGCCACAUUGGGACUGAGACACGGCCCAA
rnacentral:rRNA from 1 species